rnacentral:lncRNA from 1 species
GGUGAAUUAAUGAAUUGCUUUUUUGGUUAAAUUAUUAGGUAACCUUUCUUGAAUGUUUUGAAUUUGUUGAACAAGGAUUAAUGUAAUAUGGCUAAUAGAUGUAGGAAAUUAUAUGUGGUGUACAGUUAAAUUUAUUGCUUUCUCUCUAUCAUGUUGAAUAUGGCUUGUUUAUUUGUUGUUUGAUAUGAUUUUUGGUUCAUCUUCAUUUCAUUAAAAAAAUGACGAUUUUGGUGUGAACAAAUAUGAAUGCCUAAAUGCUAUAAUAUUCUUAUGCAUGUUAUCCAUAUGGAGGAUAUAUUUUCUUUCCUAUUUAUCGACUUUGCCCUUAAAGAAGCAAUUUAUUGUUUGAAUGUUGAUUUCUAUGUUUCCAAUUUUGGGAAUGUAUUAAAUGUGCGACAUAUGAAACUACUUUACUAGCACAUCAUAAUGGCAAUGCAAUCCAUUGUGUAAUUGCAAAUUGUACGUCUUGUGAGGAUUUGCGCUCGCUUUUCCCAUUGCUGGAAAUGCACUUGUCCAUUAGUCAGUGCAUUGGUGUAGAGGUUUUAAGUGGCAAAGGGUGUGUUAUAUAAAGAAAAUUAAGAUUUGCUAUUAAUAGUUUUGCAUUAUUAGAUGCUUCAUGCACGUCAAGAUUUUAUAUGGAAAGAGUGGUUUGAGGGAGACUUAUAUUUUAAGGGAAAAAAUAUAUGAAUGCUUAAAUGCUUUAACAUUCUUAUGCAUAUUAUCUAUAUAUGAUUGAUUUAUGUUCAUUUCUAUUUCUAGAUUUUGCACUUAAAGAAACAAUACAAUGUUUGCAUGUUGAUUUCUAUGUUCCCGAUUUUGGAUAUAUAUGAGAUGUGUGGCUUGUGAAACUGCUUUUUGUAUCAGUUCAUAAUGGCAACGCAGUCCAUUGCGUAAUUGCAAGGUGUACGUCGUGAGGAUUUGCAUUACAGGGAUAUUCACAUGUCCAUUAGUCAGUGCAUCGAUUUAGAGGUUUUAAAUUGGAAUGAGUGAGUUUUAUAAAUAGAAGUAAGAUUUGCUGGUUAUAGUUUUGUGCUAUUUGAGCAUCUCUAAUGGUAGUGUAAAUUUAAAUCUCCAAAAUGGCCAGGAUCCUCUUCAAUGGAGAGAUGCAAGUUGCGUUUUCCAGUAGAGAAAAAAAAAAAGAAAAAAAGAAGAUGUAAUUUACAUUUUUUUUACACGGCAAAAAAUGGAUUUAGAUUUUCAUAGAGCCGAAUUUGGAUUUAGAUUCAUCUCGCAAAAGUGAUUUUGAAUAUACUAAUUUACACUCAAUUUCACACCACCAGUGGAGAUGCUCUUAGAUGCUACAUGCACAUCAUAAGAUUGUAUACUGAAAUAGGGGGUUGAGAUGGAAACUUUUAUUUUGAGGAAAAAAUAUAUGAAUCCUUAGAUGCUUUAAUAUUCUUAUGCAUAUCGUAUAUGAUCAAUUUAUGUGCAUUUCUAUUUCUAGACUUUGCACUUAAAGAAGUAUUGUAUUGUUUGCAUGUUGAUUUCUAUGUUCCUGAUUUUGAAAUGUAUUGAAUGUGUAGCAUAUGAAACUGCUUUAAUAGCAGCUCAUAAUGGCAAUGCAAUCCGUUGUAUUAUUGCAAUGUAUAAGUCAUGUGAGGAUUUCACUUGUUCUAGACAUUGCUGGGAUGCAUUGUAUUGUUUGCAUGUUAAUUACUAUGUUCCCGAUUUUGGCAAUGUAUUAAAUGAUUGUAUAUGAAACUACCUUAAUAUCAACUCAUAAUGGCAAUGCAGUCCGUGGUUUUAAUUUGUAAGGGGUGAGUUUUGUGAAGAAAAGUAAGAUUUGCUAUUAAUAGUUUUUGCGCUAAUAGAUGCCACAUAUAUGUCAUAAGAUCGUAUAUGGAAAUAGUGGUUUGAGAGGGAAUCUUUUAUUCUAAGGAAAAAAUAUAUAAAUGCUUCAAUAUUCUUGUGCUUAUUAUCUAUACAUGAUCGAUUCAUGUUCAUUUCUAUUUCUGGGCUUUGCAUCUAAAGAUGCAUUGUAUUGUUUGCAUGUUAAUUACUAUGUUCCCGAUUUUGGCAAUGUAUUAAAUGAUUGUAUAUGAAACUACCUUAAUAUCAACUCAUAAUGGCAAUGCAGUCCAUUGUGUAAUUGCAACGUCUUGUGAGGAUUUGUACUUUACAGUUAUGUUUUAUCCAUCACUGGAUAUGCAUGUUUCCACUAGUCAGUGCAUCGAUGUGGUUUAUAUUGGGAAAGGGUGAGUUUUGUAAAGAGAGAAAGAUUUGCUAUUAACGCUAUGAGAGGGAAAGCUAUAGGGAAAAAUAUAUGAAUGCUUAAAUUCUUCUAUUUCUAGACUUUGCACUUAAAAAGCAGUGUAUUGUUUGCAAGUUGGUUUUUAUUAGGGCUGGGCAAAUCUCCCGAACCGAACCGACC